rnacentral:rRNA from 1 species
GACGAACCGUGCGAACGUUGUUCGGAAUCACUGGGCUUAAAGGGCGCGUAGGCGGGCUGUCGCGUCUGGGGUGAAAUCCUCCGGCUCAACCGGGGAAGGGCCUCGGGUACGGACGGCCUCGAGGGGGGUAGGGGCGUGCGGAACUGUGGGUGGAGCGGUGAAAUGCGUUGAUAUCCACAGGAACUCCGGUGGCGAAGGCGGCACGCUGGACCCCAUCUGACGCUGGGGCGCGAAAGCCAGGGGAGCGAACGGG